GGAAGGAAGGAAGAGGGAUUAACUGUUACAUUUUUAGUCUUUAGUCGAUUAUAAUAUAAACGUGAUUUUCCACUUGCCUUUGUUGUUUUUAAUUAGCUCGUGUUUUUCCAGCUUGCUCUUACAUCACAACCCCUGGUUUUAAAACAAAUCACAAUUGGUGACACCAUCAGAGCCUCCCACAGCCAUCAAGGCGCCGUUGAACACAACAAGGGACAUCUGAGGAACAAUAUACAAUAGAGUCCACCUCAUGUUGUCCGGGUCAAACUUCUCCGCACCGCAGAGCUCCAGGUUGAGCUCGUCUCUGCCCCCGGCCACGUAGAUGCGUCCCAGGUACACGGCGCACCCGGCAUUCUCCCUGGGACUCAGCAUGUGGGCG